UACGUAGGGCGCAAGCGUUGUCCGGAAUUAUUGGGCGUAAAGAGCUCGUAGGCGGCUUGUCACGUCGAUUGUGAAAGCCCGAGGCUUAACCUCGGGUCUGCAGUCGAUACGGGCUAGCUAGGGUGUGGUAGGGGAGAUCGGAAUUCCUGGUGUAGCGGUGAAAUGCGCAGAUAUCAGGAGGAACACCGGUGGCGAAGGCGGAUCUCUGGGCCAUUACUGACGCUGAGGAGCGAAAGCGUGGGGAGCGAACAGG
rnacentral:rRNA from 1 species